GGAAGUAGAACUCGAUUGGCUGAGUGUCUCACUUUUAAUGAGUAUAGUUCUGGUUCAAGUCCGGAUACUUCUA
rnacentral:tRNA from 1 species